AUUGAACGCUGGCGGCAGGCCUAACACAUGCAAGUCGAGCGAGCGGCGGACGGGUGAGUAAUGCCUGGGACUAGCCCUGAUGUGGGGGAUAACUAUUGGAAACGAUAGCUAAUACCGCAUACGUCCGGAUUAGCCCAGGUGGGAUUAGCUUGUUGGUGGGGUAAUGGCUAACCAAGGCAACGAUACCUAGCUGGUCUGAGAGGAUGAUAAGCCACACUGGAACAGAGACACGGUCCAGACUCCUACGGGAGGCAGCAGUGGGGAAUAGUGCAGAAAAGUGGAAACCCUGAUGAAGCCAUGCCGCAUGUAUGAAGAAGGCCUUCGGGUUGUAAAGUACUUUCAGUUGUGAGGCGUUAGGAACAGAAGAAGCACCGGCUAACUCCGUGCCAGCAGCCGCGGGAAUAC
rnacentral:rRNA from 1 species